UAUAGAUAAAGGCAAAAUGCAGGAAACUGCAUGACGCAAAGCUACAGGGUCUGGAUGAAUAUGAUUAUUUUGAAUGACAGCCAGUUGCAGUA
rnacentral:ncRNA from 1 species